rnacentral:rRNA from 1 species
GACGAACGCUGGCGGCGUGCUUAACACAUGCAAGUCGAACGGAAAGGCCCUGCUUUUGUGGGGUGCUCGAGUGGCGAACGGGUGAGUAACACGUGAGUAACCUGCCCUUGACUUUGGGAUAACUUCAGGAAACUGGGGCUAAUACCGGAUAGGAGCUCCUGCUGCAUGGUGGGGGUUGGAAAGUUUCGGCGGUUGGGGAUGGACUCGCGGCUUAUCAGCUUGUUGGUGGGGUAGUGGCUUACCAAGGCUUUGACGGGUAGCCGGCCUGAGAGGGUGACCGGCCACAUUGGGACUGAGACACGGCCCAGACUCCUACGGGAGGCAGCAGUGGGGAAUAUUGCACAAUGGGCGGAAGCCUGAUGCGGCAACGCCGCGUGCGGGAUGACGGCCUUCGGGUUGUAAACCGCUUUCGCCUGUGACGAAGCGUGAGUGACGGUAAUGGGUAAAGAGGCACCGGCUAACUACGUG